rnacentral:rRNA from 1 species
GUGCCAGCAGCCGCGGUAAUACGGAGGGUGCGAGCGUUGUCCGGAAUCACUGGGCGUAAAGGGCGCGUAGGCGGCUUUUUAAGCGUGCGGUGAAAGCCCGGGGCUCAACCCCGGGUCGGCCGUGCGAACUGGAAAGCUCGAGCCCACUAGAGGCAGGCGGAAUUCCGGGUGUAGCGGUGGAAUGCGUAGAGAUCCGGAAGAACACCGGUGGCGAAGGCGGCCUGCUGGGGUGGAGCUGACGCUGAGGCGCGACAGCGUGGGGAGCAAACAGGAUUAGAUACCCUGGUAGUCC